rnacentral:sRNA from 1 species
GAGAUUGAUAUCCUGUGUUUAUCCACAGGACAGAUACAGCACAGACAGUGCUAAGUCAAAUACAAUGACAACAGGUACAACAAGACAGUGACAAGCUUCCCUCCCACAUCCCCGCUGAUCUGCCUUAGUUCUGUCAUGGAGGAGCUGCCUGUAGGGCUGAACAGGCAGUUUAAUUUC